GUUCGGGAGUGAGGGGAGGCCUUCUAUAGUGUGGAAUUUCUGCACCAGUCGGGAGUUGCAUACCUUAAAUUCUCUCCCUUUUUCCCUUUCCCACGGUCUAAAACCGGGCCAUGAGACCAAGUGAUCUGGCUGGGACGGCCACAUCUCGAGUUCAGGUGCUGUUUGAAGGGACAAGGAAGAGUUCACUGGUCCCACUGUUUACCAACCCAAAUGAAGCUUCCACGUCAUAUGAAGUCACUUAGAGGAAUAGGAAGAAGCACAAGCGUGGGCAUUGUCCCGGUAUCCCGUAUUUCCACAGAAAUAAUGAGGUCGACCUGGUCGCGGGUAUUCUGAGAGAGUCAACAUGGGAGAGAGAUGGCAGUACAUAUAUUAACUACGUUCGCCGACUUUCCUCAAGACCUCUGAUUUAAUCCUUCUGUAUAAUUUCAAGUCGCAUGGUGAUUUAACGUGCUUUCGUUAAUCCAUUUACUUAUAUUUAUGUGCAUAAAAAUUUGUCUUGACAACAAGACUGUAAAUCUCCCUAAAUGUUUGAACGCACCUGACCUUCCAAAUAACAACAUUCCCAGGAGAAUGACUGAACAUCUGUGUGAGUCAUUUUUGUCUGAAUUAAAUUUUUGAUGAGCUGGGUAA